UUUUAAUUUUUAUUUAUUUUUAUUUUAAUUAGAUUUAAAAGAAAAUAAUAAGUCUAUAAAUAGUUAAUAUCACUUGGCAAAAAUCUACAUAAUAUUACAAAUAAUUAUUUAUGGUAACUAUUUGUUGAAACUAUAGAAAGAAUAAUAAUGUUUGAUCAACUUUUUAUAUAUUUGUAAACUACAUAAAAUAAGAAACAAUUGUUUUUAUUUAAAUUGAUAUAAUGAUUUUAUAUUCUUAUUUAAAGCCUUAU
rnacentral:lncRNA from 1 species